rnacentral:lncRNA from 10 species
GUUCAUGUGUCUCUGCGUUUUCCACCCCUCCUGGUCACAUGGCUCCAUUGCUAUUCCCUUUCUUCUUUCCAAUUGGGUGUGGCCAUGUGCGUGAUUUCUAGGUUGUGGAGUGUGGUGGAAGUGAUUCAUGCCACUUUGGGUCUGGCCCAAAAAUCCCUCCAAUGAGCCCCCUUCUCUUUUCUUGCCCCUUGGCUGAGAGGAGAGGACUCUGAGGGCCUGGAAGAGGAUGGAAGCACAGGAUGGAAGAGGCUUGGGCCCUGAGUGACUGCAUGGAGGCUGCCUGGCCAGGAGUAACUGCAUUGGACUGUGAUGCGAAGGAGAAACGAGAUUUCACUGUGUAAAAGCCACUCGCUGAGGAGCCGGGACUACCUGUGCGGGGCCGAGUUUUCCCUCACUAAUCCAGAGGGUGCUUUCCCCUCAGAGGGUCUGAUUGUGAUCCUCCUCCUCUGGGACCUGGUAUCCACGUCCAUCAACGGGAAAUGCUGAUAGUGAUUUCAAACCAUCGCAUCAAAAGAACCACCGUCAAGAGCAGCACGUAUCUUUUCAGAAAACUUAACAAAGUAUUUGUCUACCUCCCUGUUACGUAUAUAUGUAUGCUUCUAUGCACUGUAGACUUUUCUGCAACUUGCUUUAGCUUAGAGUCAUCCCUCAGUAUCCAUGAGAGUUUGGUUCCCGGAUCCCGGCGAUACCAAAAUACAAGAAUUCUCAAGUCUCAGUCUGCCUCGCGGGAACCUGUGGAUACAAGAAAUCAGCCCACAGGUUUGGCAUCCGCAGUUUGUUGAACCAAGGAUGUGGAACCCGUAGAUCUGCCUUUUGUUUUGGACAUCUUUCACUGCCACUGUCUUCUCCCAUACCAUAUCAUAAUUUAUUUAGUUAAUUCUCUCUUGAUGGUCAUUUGUAUUAUUGUAAAAUUCCUAUUUUUGUGUGUUUGCCCCAGUUUUACUUUAGGAUAAAUUCUAGAUGUGAACUUGCUGAAUUAUCUUCCAAAAAUGUUGAUUCAAUUUAUGUUCUCCCUAAUAAUAUGUGUUAGGACCUGUUUUCUCGUAUUGUUAGUACUCAUAUCAAUUUUUUAAAUCUUUACUGAAAGGCAGGGCAAAAAAAAAGAGAAAAUUCAUCUUCUUGUUUCAGUAUGGAUUUUUAUGAUUAUCAGUGAGGUGAAGAAUGUUUUCAUGUAUUCAGUGGCCAUUUGAAGUUCUCCAUGUUGCAUUUGAAUGUCAUUUCACCCAUCUGCUCUCAGGAGCAUUGCCUUGGUAUUGCUCCUAAAUAUCUGUGGAGAGCUCAGUACAGCAUUCAAGGCAUAGCAAAGGAAUGAGUGAGUGAUGAAUGAAUGAAUGCAUAAAAAAGAACAAUCACAGCCUGGCAUGGUGGCUCAUGCCUGUAAUCCCAACACUUUGGGAGACCAAGGUGGGCAGAUCACUUGAGGUCAGGAGUUCGAGACCAGCCUGGCCAACAUGGUGAAACCCCAUCUCUACUAAAAAUAUAAUAAUUAGCCCAGUGUGGUUGCUGGCUGUAAUCCCAGCUACUUGGGAGGCUGAGACAGGAGAAUCACUUGAACCUGGGAAAUGGAGAUUGCAGUGAGCUGAGACUGAGCCACUGCACUCCAGCCUGGGCAACAGAGCAAGACUCUGUCUCAAUACAAAAACAAAAAUGAAAAAGCCCCACAACCACUUCUGGUCUCAAAGAUGGUACAGAUGGUACCGGGGUGAAGAAAUUCCCCAUUUGGUUUCAUUGUUUAAAACAGAAUCCCUUAGUCAGAAUCAGCAAUCACUAGGGAAAUGCAAAUGAAAAUCACAAUGAGAUACUGCCUCACACUCAUUAAGAUGGCCACGGUCAAAAGAAUAUACAAAAAACUUUCAGAAAAUAAGAAAUAUUGGUGAGGAUGAAAAAAACGGGAACACUUGUGUUGGUGGGAAUGUAAAAUGGUGCAGCUGCUACAGAAAACAAUACACUGAGU